rnacentral:rRNA from 1 species
UACGUAGGUGGCGAGCGUUGUCCGGAUUUACUGGGCGUAAAGGGCGUGCAGGCGGUUUGUUAAGUGCAGAGUGAAAGCUCCCGGCUCAACUGGGAGAGGUCUUUGCAUACUGGCAAACUCGAGGGAGGCAGAGGAAAGUGGAAUUCCCGGUGUAGUGGUGAUAUGCGUAGAUAUCGGGAGGAACACCUGUGGCGAAGGCGGCCGCCUGGUUGGAUACUGACGCUGAGACGCGAAAGCGUGGGGAGCAAACAGG